GACGAACGCUGGCGGCGUGCUUAACACAUGCAAGUCGAACGGAAAGGCCCUGCGUUUGCGGGGUGCUCGAUUGGCGAACGGGUGAGUAACACGUGAGUAACCUGCCCUUGACUGUGGGAUAACUUCAGGAAACUGGGGCUAAUAUCGGAUAGGAGCUCCUGCUGCACGGUGGGGGUUGGAAAGUUUCGGCGGUUGGGUAUGGACUCGCGGCUUAUCAGCUUGUUGGUGGGGUAGUGGCUUACCAAGGCUUUGACGGGUAGCCGGCCUGAGAGGGUGACCGGCCACAUUGGGACUGAGAUACGGCCCAGACUCCUACGGGAGGCAGCAGUGGGGAAUAUUGCACAAUGGGCGGAAGCCUGAUGCAGCAACGCCGCGUGCGGGAUGACGGCCUUCGGGUUGUAAACCGCUUUCGCCUGUGACGAAGCGUGAGUGACGGUAAUGGGUAAAGAAGCACCGGCUAACUACGUG
rnacentral:rRNA from 1 species